CUUUACUAAAGGAUAAUAAUAGGGAGGGCUCCCUUCCCCUACUCCAUUAGUGAGUAAGACCAGAUAGGUUAUACCUUAGUCUGUGGAAGAUACAAACUACCUAGAGUCUAUUUCCUGGAUGAAAAGAUUAGACUAUUUCAGGAGCGGAAGUGACAUCAAUUUCCCAUAUUCCUGUGUGGGUGCUGGUUGUUUGUCCUGUGAGGAGAUGGUGAUUUUUUUUGCUCGUAUCUCAUUCCUGAAGAUAACAAAGGCACUGAAAGCACAGCUGCUACUAGUGUCCCAAAGCCAUCCAGCUCUGUAUGCUGCUAGCCUGUUUACUGCAAUGUUUAUUGCUGUAGUUACUGCUGGCUGACUGUGGGGAAGUGAUCUACUGGGGAGGAAGAAAGAAGGCUGCCAUCCUAGAAACCUUCGGGAAAGGAUUUCAGAGUACCUCCAUGAAUGUUUCACCGAGAUCUCUCCAGAGGAUUCAAGGGACAUCCCUGUGUUCAUAAAUUGUUCCACAUGCCCCCUAAUUCCACCGGAGAAUGAAAAGCAGAUAAUGCUAUUUCUCUUUCUUAUACUGCUACCUCUUCCAGUAUGAGUAAAUUAAUUAAAAGUCAAUAGCUGUGACCUGCUAAGCUGGGGACAGUACAUCAUUUUAAUGGAAAAUACAUUCACAAAAGUACCUGAGAUUCCUUCCCCUGCUUUGGGCUCCCCUGUGCUUGACUGCUAGGACUGACUGGACUGUGGUGGGGUCUCAAACAGGUCCUGGCUUGUGGAAUAGCUGCCCCCCAACCAGUUGCGUGUCCCACUUUCUCCUUCUCCUCCUCUAUAUUCUCCUCAACCUCACUGUUCUCACACACUCACACUGUUCUGUGUCUCAGGCUUCUCAUAAGUAUCCAUGGUGGUGUGGGGGGUAGUAGUUGGGUCUCUCCUAAGUAUGGCAUGCAGGUCUGUGGCUUGGCACUGGAUUGACUGUUGGCCUCCCUGGCCUCUUGGUAUGCCAAAUGCAGUUCCUUCACUUUUGCGUGCACAUUGUUGCUAGUCCCUAUCUUACUCCUUCUCCUGUAUCCCCUGUGUAAUCUGCUUGUAGAUGUCCGCAUUUCUAUGGCUGCUCCAUAGCUGUGCUUGAACAGUCUGUACUCCUCACAGGCCCAGGAGAUCCAAUAUCUCCUGAUUACUCCAAACCGGAGCAUUUAGCCAGUAAGGGCAGUUACAUACAACAAUGGAGAACUGCUAGCUGUGUUCACCAAGCUGGACUAUCAGGGAAAGGCACUCCAAAAAUUUGGGGGGAGCUUCAAAGAGGAAGGGGCCUUUUGGUCUCUGGGACCCUUGGGCAGUGGAGUUUACAAUUGUUACCAGAGCGGUCAGGGUCUGGCAUAGUGGGACAGCUGCUGGAGGACUAUUACAAUCGACAUAAAUAAUGCAGCAUCUUCAUUUGCACUGUGUUAACCUCUGUACAUUGACCAUGGCUCAAUGCCGCUUGGGAAGGUGGUGGUACUGCAUUACUGUAAUGUGCCACUUAAAUCAGUGGGAGAGACAUCUUAAGUGUAGACAGAUGCACCACCAGAUCGACACACAGGCCAUUUAUGUCCAUCUAACUUUGUAAUAUAGACCAGGCCUCAGUGUGUACUCCUCAUAUGUACCAAAUCUCAAGAUGAUGUAUGAUUCCUUAUGAAAUUUAAACAGACCUUGCUUCCUAGGGUUCUUGUAACCACCUUCUCAUUUAAGCUUAAUUAUAUAUUACUGGCUCAUUUUAAAGUGAUACCAUAUUUUUAAAUUAUGCCUCAUCCUUUUGCUAGUGUUGAACAGAAGCAACUAAAUGGGAAAAGCAGACUAUUAAAACAACACUUAAUACUGACAAACUGAUAAAUACCCCACAUGCUAAUCAUUAGAAUUGCUGUUCAGCUAAUAAGCCUUAUCAGUGCUACUUAUGUUUGCAUAUUUGCUUGUUUUAAAUGUGACCUGUCCACUUCUCUUUACCAUUAACUAAAGGCAAGCACCAUAAAUUAGCACAGAAGAGUGUUUUCUUCCAACCUCUCUCUUUAGUUAUACAUUUCUAGGACUGGAUUAUUUUUUAAAAAAAUAACUUAGCAUAAGCCUAACUCUGCUCCGAUUGAAGUCAAUGGGAGUUUUACCCUUCAAUUCAUUGGAAACAGAUCAAAACUAAGUGGUUUUGAAAACAUGCCAACACUUGUCUAUCAUAUACCCAAAUGGGAAAUGCUAAAGCAAGCAAGGCCAUUACAAACAGCACUGGAUUUGGACCAAAAAUAGGCUGGGAGAGGACAAUUAAUUGGGGGUGGUGUCAUACAGUAAAUCUGGUUCAAGUCAAAUACCUCUUGAUAGCUCACACAAUUUUGUGAUCAAUGUCUCAGUCUUCUAUUGUUGCU